rnacentral:tRNA from 1 species
GCGGAGGUUGCCCAGCCAGGUUAAAGGCGCUAGGUUGAGGGCCUAGACUUUGUGGCAUUUCACCACAACUUUGUGGUAUUUCGCCGCGAAGGGGCUUUCUCGUAGGAGUUCGCGAGUUCAAAUCUCGCCCUCCGCACCA